rnacentral:rRNA from 1 species
GACAGAGGUUGCAAACGUUGUUCGGAAUCACUGGGCAUAAAGCGCACGUAGGCGGCCAACUAAGUCAGAUGUGAAAUCCCCCGGCUCAACCGAGGAACUGCGUCUGAUACUGAUUGGCUUGAGAAUGGUAGGGGUGAGCGGAACUCCAGGUGGAGCGGUGAAAUGCGUAGAUAUCUGGAGGAACACCGGUGGCGAAAGCGGCUCACUGGACCAUAACUGACGCUGAGGUGCGAAAGCUAGGGUAGCAAACGGG